CUCGUAGGCAGUUCGUCGCGUCCGGUGUGAAAGUCCAUCGCUUAACGGUGGAUCCGCGCCGGGUACGGGCGGGCUUGAGUGCGGUAGGGGAGACUGGAAUUCCCGGUGUAACGGUGGAAUGUGUAGAUAUCGGGAAGAACACCAAUGGCGAAGGCAGGUCUCUGGGCCGUUACUGACGCUGAGGAGCGAAAGCGUGGGGAGCGAACA
rnacentral:rRNA from 1 species